UUUCUUCAAAAGUGUUUGAUUGUCAUAGCAUUGGCUGCCUGAGCUCCUACUUUACUUGUUUGUCCUUAUAUUAUUAUUAUUAUUAUUUUGAGAUAUAGUUAGACACCAGGUCUAACCUUUUUCAUGAAGAUAAUGAAAAUCUAUACUUAUUAUUAUUAUUACAAAUUACAUAUAAACAUAAGCAACUAACUAGUGCACCUCUUACACAAGGCAAAUUCGGUGGAGUCAUGAUAUUUCCAAAUAUGUAGCAUAAUGAUCAUCCGACUUUCCUAUUGACUUUGCCUCAUUUUUAUUAUCCUUCAAAUUGUAUCGUUGACACCCUCUUCAAUGGGGUUGCUUGUAAUUAUGAAAACCUCCUCUAUCUCCUUUCUGUUAGUUCAUCCUCUGUUGCCAUUUCUAGAUUUCUUUGAUUUCUUAAAUCUAAUUGCAUCCCCUAGUCAUGCUAAGCAUACUAAACUGUGCCGAACCAGACCAGUCGGAACCGGCAUGGUUCAGCUACUUAUUUUGGUUUGCCUCAGUAUAGCACUCGUUCGAACGUUUUGUUGCUUCGUUCGGCUUUUUCAGCACUUCAGCAC
rnacentral:lncRNA from 1 species